AACUUAUUCAGUUAUCUGAUCGUCAAUCGCUUAUACCACUACAAUUAGCGGAUACCUUUAUUCGUACAGUACUUACACAUGUCGAAUAGCUUAUGAUAUUUAACGGCAUCUGUCAAUUAGCUUCGAUGCCCAUUGGUCAACGACGACGACAGCGCCCUAUCGUACACUGUGACAGCGCCAAUGCCCCCAAUUGAUCAAAAUUCGUUAUAAAGACGGCAGUGUGGAGAGUCCGAUACCGAGACAACAACUAGAAUUUUCUCGGACUGUGAGACGACGGCAGUGAAACUCGCUGGGAGGUCGAACGGUUGUUUUUGGUAAAUAAUCAUUGCACUCGUUGCUUGGUUGGCUGUGUCAGAGGCGUGUGCCCUUGCAGCUGCGCUGGCUGCGCCUCGCACAAGGCUGGCUGCGGUAGUAGUGACUGCGGAGGUGUCACGGUGAUGAUUUCAGAUCGACGAGUUACCACGCGUGUUCGUAGUACUGUGUAGUUAUGAGCUCCGAGGAACUGAACUCUUCUCUUUCUGAUGACGUGGACGAACUGCGUUGUUCCCAAGUGGUGGGAACACUUUGCUUUUCUGACGCUGCAGAUGACACGGGGGAGUGUUUCGUCUCGUCGACAUCGAGAACCAUUCGCUCGUGGUCAAAGACUUCACAGCCAAACACCUUGAUGGCCUCAGCAGGUGAUCCUCCAUCCAGAGUAGGACCUCAACAGGUGGUCUUUGAGAUUGUGUCUGCCAAAACAGUCGUUGAAGGACGUAAGAAGUUUGUGUGCUACACAGUGCUUGUGAAAAAGAGUCCUGGACUGGAGAGACUUCCAGGGGUCCUGGAGCGUCGCUACUCUGAUUUUUCAGCCCUGUUUGCGGGUCUGCGUCGCCGUCACCCAUCAUGCGUGGCUCUGCGUGACUUCCCUUUCCCCCGCAAAGCCCUGCUGGGAAACUUUACUACUGAGGUGAUAACAGAACGUAGUUUGGCCUUUCGCCACCUGCUGUCCCGUGUCCAUGCAUCGCCGGAGUUACGUCGGUCACCAGAGUUUGCAGAAUUCACAUGGCGCCGGGAAGUGUGCCGUGCUCAUCGGCUGAUGACUGCUGGCCAGUUUGAAGAUGCCUCUGUCUUGCUUGAAAAUGCUUACUCCGUGCAAGAGAAAGUUCUUGGAGAUGGCGACCCAGACACGUUCACCACUUUGGCGGUGCUCACAGCUUGCCUGAAUGCAGUGGACAAUGUGGCUGAGGCACAGAAGUAUGCCGAGCUGGCCCUGUCCAAGUGGCUGCCUGGCAGCACUGUGUCAAAUCCCAGCGACCUAGAGGUGCCAUUACUUGUGCUGGCAAUUCGACUUUGGUGGGCGGUGGGAAAGGAGAAGCGUGAGCUGGAGGAGCGACUGCGCCAGGUGAAGGACACGGGAGUCAAUGUGGAUGCUCUGCCGACACUGCUUGAGCUGGUACUCAAGAAGGAUAGUGCUACCUUGUAUUCAUCCUAACGUGAUAGACUACCAGCACUUGCUCCUCGCAGGCUGUGUUGCCCACCACUCUGUGCGGCUGCAGGCCUUUGGGAUGUUGCAGCUCUUCUUUUUUCGUCUGUGGAUGAGCAUAAAAGCCGGUUCACUUCAAUGACAUGAUGAAAGAAAUUUUGGGCUGCAGGAGUCCUACAUCCCAGUUGUGAAUGUAGGACGGACUACAGAACUUCUUGUGAAAAGGUGUAAUCAAAAGCUCCUGCACAUGGCAUAUGGUUUUCAAGCAACAAGCACUAAAAGUUUGUCUAGUUCUUUCUCAACAGUGCAUGCAUUGAGCACCAAUUGUCUGUGGCAUAUGUGCAUUGUCUUUAUAUGAUGAUGUGGCACUGUUCAGCCAACAUUCAGAAGAAAAAAAAACUUUAGGGUAGACUGAAUGCAUUGUUCUUGCAAUACUGCAGAAAAAUAGGAGGAACAUGAGCAAGUGAUGGAAAGCACUUCAAAAUGUGUAAUCACAGAUCAGUGUUAGCUUGUAAUGUGUCUGUGGCAAAGGUGGAAGGUGUCACGAGUUGCAUUGUUGUACCUAUAUUCUUUCACAGAUGAUUAAUAAAGCUCUUUAGACAAGAGAAACAA
rnacentral:misc_RNA from 1 species